GACGAACGCUGGCGGCGUGCCUAAUACAUGCAAGUAGAACGCUGAAGCUUGGUGCUUGCACCGAGCGGAUGAGUUGCGAACGGGUGAGUAACGCGUAGGUAACCUGCCUGGUAGCGGGGGAUAACUAUUGGAAACGAUAGCUAAUACCGCAUAAGAGUAGAUGUUGCAUGACAUUUGCUUAAAAUGUGCAAUUGCAUCACUACCAGAUGGACCUUCGUUGUAUUAGCUAGUUGGUGAGGUAACGGCUCACCAAGGCAACGAUACAUAGCCGACCUGAGAGGGUGAUCGGCCACACUGAGACGGAGACACGGCACAGACUCCUAGGGGAGGCAGCAGUAGGGAAUCUUCGGGCAGGGGCGGAAGACAGACCGAGCUACGCCGCGGGAGUGUAGAAGGUUGUCGGGUCGUGAAGGUCGGUUGUAAGGGUAGAACGAGUGUGAGAGUGGAAAGUUCACACUGUGACGGUAACUGACCAGAAAGGGACGGCUAACUACGUG
rnacentral:rRNA from 1 species